AAAUGAAUUGACGGGGGCCUGCACACUCUUCUUCCCCUUUGGUUUCCUUCGAUGAUACGCGAGGAACCUUACCUGGGCUUAAAUGUAGAGUGCAUUUUCUAGAGAUAGAAAUUCCCUUCGGGGCUUUCUGCAAGGUGCUGCAUGGUUGUCGUCAGCUCGUGCCGUGAGGUGUCGGGUUAAGUCCCAUAACGAGCGCAACCCUUAUCGUUAGUUGCCAGCUGGUAAAGCAGGGGACUCUAGCGAAACUGCCACCGUAAGGUGAGAGGAAGGUGGGGAUGACGUCAAAUCAGCACGGCCCUUAUGUCCAGGGCUACACACGUGUUACAAUGGCCGGUACAGAGGGCUGCUACCUGGUGACAGGAUGCUAAUCUCGAAAACCGGUCUCAGUUCGGAUCGAAGUCUGCAACUCGACUUCGUGAAGCCGGAUUCGCUAGUAAUCGCGCAUCAGCAACGGCGCGGUGAAUACGUUCCCGGGCCUUGUACACACCGCCCGU
rnacentral:rRNA from 1 species